GUGUCAGCCGCCGCGGUAAUACGAAGGGGGCUAGCGUUGCUCGGAAUCACUGGGCGUAAAGGGCGCGUAGGCGGCGUUUUAAGUCGGGGGUGAAAGCCUGUGGCUCAACCACAGAAUGGCCUUCGAUACUGGGACGCUUGAGUAUGGUAGAGGUUGGUGGAACUGCGAGUGUAGAGGUGAAAUUCGUAGAUAUUCGCAAGAACACCGGUGGCGAAGGCGGCCAACUGGACCAUUACUGACGCUGAGGCGCGAAAGCGUGGGGAGCAAACAGGAUUAGAUACCCCUGUAGUCC
rnacentral:rRNA from 1 species